UGUAUAAGUUUAAUCGUUUAUCGAGAAACCGCGAACGGCUCAUUACAAUGGCCAUUAUUUACUUGAUCUUGAUUGUCUAAAUGGAUAACUGUGGAAAAGCUAGAGCUAAUACAUGCACUAAAGCUUUGUCCUUACGGAAAAGCGCAUUUAUUAGAACAAAACCACGCGGCUUCGGCUGCUUCUUGUUGACUCAGAAUAACUUAGCUGACCGCAUGGCCUUGUGCCGGCGGCGUGUCUUUCAAGCGUCCACUUUAUCAACUUGACGGGAGCAUAAUCGACUCCCGUGGUGGUGACGGAUAACGGAGGAUCAGGGUUCGACUCCGGAGAAGGGGCCUGAGAAAUGGCCACUACGUCUAAGGAUGGCAGCAGGCGCGCAAAUUACCCACUCUCGGCUCGAGGAGGUAGUGACGAGAAAUAACGAGACUGUUCUCUUUGAGGCCGGUCAUCGGAAUGGGUACAAUUUAAACCCUUUAACGAGUAUCAAGCAGAGGGCAAGUCUGGUGCCAGCAGCCGCGGUAAUUCCAGCUCUGCAAAUACAUAGAAUUAUUGCUGCGGUUAGAAAGCUCAUAGUUGGAUUCGUAUCGAUACCUUGGAACCCUUCGGGUGUCUCUAGGUGUUAUCGAUUUAUCGUAAUGUUCGGUUUUGAGUCCUUAACAGGAUUCUUAACAGGCAUUGCAAGUUNACUUUGAACAAAUCAGAGUGCUUCAAACAGGCGUUUUCGCUUGAAUGAUCGUGCAUGGAAUAAUAGAAAAUGAUUUCGGUUCAGUUUUAUUGGUUUUACGGACUGAGAUAAUGGUUAACAGAGACAAACGGGGGCAUUUGUAUGGUCCCGUGAGAGGUGAAAUUCUUGGACCGUGGCCAGACAAACUACAGCGAAAGCAUUUGCCAAGAAUGUCUUCAUUAAUCAAGAACGAAAGUCAGAGGUUCGAAGGCGAUCAGAUACCGCCCUAGUUCUGACCGUAAACGAUGCCAACUAGCGAUCCGCCGAUGGAAAUUAUAUUGCCUUGGUGGGGAGCUUCCCGGAAACGAAAGUCUUCCGGUUCCGGGGGAAGUAUGGUUGCAAAGCUGAAACUUAAAGGAAUUGACGGAAGGGCACCACCAGGAGUGGAGCCUGCGGCUUAAUUUGACUCAACACGGGGAAACUCACCCGGCCCGGACACUGUGAGGAUUGACAGAUUGAUAGCUUUUUCAUGAUUCAGUGGAUGGUGGUGCAUGGCCGUUCUUAGUUCGUGGAGUGAUUUGUCUGGUUUAUUCCGAUAACGAGCGAGACUCUAACCUACUAAAUAGCUGGUACAUAAUUUAAGUGUAUACAGCUUCUUAGAGGGAUUUGCGGUGUUCAGCCGAAAGAAAUUGAGCAAUAACAGGUCUGUGAUGCCCUUAGAUGUCCGGGGCUGCACGCGCGCUACACUGGCAAAAUCAACGUGCUUGUCCUACCCCGAAAGGGGCGGGUAAACCAUUGAAAAUUUGCCGUGAUUGGGAUCGGAAAUUGCAAUUAUUUUCCGUGAACGAGGAAUUCCAAGUAAGUGCGAGUCAUCAGCUCGCGUUGAUUACGUCCCUGCCCUUUGUACACACCGCCCGUCGCCGCCCGGGACUGAGCCAUUUCGAGAAAUUUGGGGACCGUUGAUUUAAUUUUUCUAAAUUACUUUGAUGGAAACCAAUUUAAUCGCAGUGGCUUGAACCGGGCAAAAGUCGUAACAAGGUAGCUG
rnacentral:rRNA from 1 species